AGUGAACGCUGGCGGUAGGCCUAACACAUGCAAGUCGAACGGCAGCACAGUAAGAGCUUGCUCUUACGGGUGGCGAGUGGCGGACGGGUGAGGAAUACAUCGGAAUCUACUUUUUCGUGGGGGAUAACGUAGGGAAACUUACGCUAAUACCGCAUACGACCUACGGGUGAAAGCAGGGGAUCUUCGGACCUUGCGCGAUUGAAUGAGCCGAUGUCGGAUUAGCUAGUUGGCGGGGUAAAGGCCCACCAAGGCGACGAUCCGUAGCUGGUCUGAGAGGAUGAUCAGCCACACUGGAACUGAGACACGGUCCAGACUCCUACGGGAGGCAGCAGUGGGGAAUAUUGGACAAUGGGCGCAAGCCUGAUCCAGCCAUACCGCGUGGGUGAAGAAGGCCUUCGGGUUGUAAAGCCCUUUGUUGGGAAAGAAAAGAAGCAGGUUAAUACCCCGCUGUUCUGACGGUACCCAAAGAAUAAGCACCGGCUAACUUCGUG
rnacentral:rRNA from 1 species